UCCUAGUCGGCUGGACGUCCCCACUUACAGUGAGGUCCUCUGAACAUGUCAAAGUGCAGAUAAAUAUAAAGACACAAACUGGAAAAUUAAAUGCUAUUUUGCUUCCUUUGCUUUUCCGUGUGGGUGGAGUAGACAGGACCUGCCUCACUUCCCAGACUGAACCCAUCUGUGCACAAAACCAGGGCCCCAUGUUGAGGUCACAACAGCAGCUGGCGUGGCAGACCUGUGGAGUGGGGCUCCAGCCCUCUGGGGUGCCUGCCUCCCCGGGGCGGGGGUCGUUCUGUGCCCGCCCCAGCCCUCACUUAUAGUGCGCUGAUCCCCACCUGGAGAGGACCCACCUACACAUCAGCCUCGAGGAUGAGGGGAAAUGCCCGGCCGGACACACGCAUUUCUUGACCGCAGGGCCACACACACGGAGUGGGAGGAUCCGCCGAAGGCAGGGGCUGGGCUGAAAAUGGAGUUUCCUUCCCACCAAAUCCACUUCCAGGAAGUUCUUGUCCCUGAACAGGACUUUCCACAUGAAGUCUUUUCAGAGAGCCAUGAAAGAACAAAUGAAAAAGGCUUUUGUAUUGGAAGAAAGGAAACAUUCAUUUUUUGCUAGGAUACAAUGUGUAAAAAGAAUACGUUAUAUUUUAAGAGAAAUGAGAAUUUCACAAUAAUGCCACCCACAAAAUAGAUUUCUGUCCUCUACACUAUUUUUAUGCAGAUUACUUGUGCUAGGAGUGGUAACCAGGUCUUGGCAAACAAUGCCCUCAGAAGAAAAAAGUGCAAUUUUAUUUCUGAGUUUGAAAUAAACAUCUACAUGUUCCCCAAGCAGUAGUAUUCCAUUUAUACAAUUCUUUGACCAACCUGUGGGAUCAAGGACGCCAUAGAAAUGCCAUUUCAAAAUGACCCACAGAGCCAUAGGCUUUUCAUUUCUGGUGUUUUGGUAAUGAAGAAUGGGUUUGCACAACACAGAUGGCUUACUUUCAAAUGUUAACUUUCUGACUACUGAAAAUGCAAUUGG
rnacentral:lncRNA from 1 species